rnacentral:rRNA from 1 species
GACGUAGGGGGCGAGCGUUGUCCGGAAUUAUUGGGCGUAAAGGGCUCGUAGGCGGUUCGGUAAGUCGGAUGUGAAAACUUAGGGCUCAACCCUGAGACGCCAUCCGAUACUGCUGUGACUUGAGUUCGGUAGAGGAGUGUGGAAUUCCUGGUGUAGCGGUGAAAUGCGCAGAUAUCAGGAGGAACACCUACGGCGAAGGCAGCACUCUGGGCCGAAACUGACGCUGAGGAGCGAAAGCGUGGGUAGCAAACAGGAUUAGAAACCCCCGUAGUCC